rnacentral:rRNA from 1 species
UGCCCACUGAUUAAUUAAUUAAAGGGCUGCAGUAUUUUGACUGUACAAAGGUAGCAUAAUCAUUAGUCAUUUAAUUGAUGACUUGUAUGAAAGAUUGGAUGAAAUAUAAGCUGUCUCGAAAGUAAUUUAUAGAAAUUAAUUUUUUAAUUAAAAAGUUAAAAUGUUUUAAAAAGACGAGAAGACCCUAUAGAGUUUAAUUUUUAUAAUAAUUUAAUUAAAUUUAUAAAUUGAUUAUAUUUUUGAGUUAUAUAAUAAUUUUGUUGGGGUGAUAGAAAAAUUAAAUAAACUUUUUUUAAUAUUAAACAUUAAUAAGUGAGUUAAUGAUCCAAUUAUAUUGAUUAUAAGAAAAAAUUACCUUAGGGAUAACAGCGUAAUUUUUUUUUUUAGUUCACAUAAAAAAAAGAGUUUGCGACCUCGAUGUUGGAUUAAGAUAAAAUUUAAAUGUAGAAGUUUAAAAUUUUGA